CAGACGAUUCUAUUGAUUUCUUCUCGGUGAAAAACAAAGGUUUGGAACCCUGGACUCUUUCUCGUGAACUUGUUCAGUAAAAUAAAUAGAUGGAUCGCCCUUUCCUAUCCAGGAAGUUGAUCCCCGUUGCCCAAAACCAACAAGGGUUCUAAUAGUCAAGUAAAUGGUGGGACCUCCUUCCGGGAACUCUGAUGAACUUAUCUUAUUGAGUCUCUCUCCUAGGGUUGGUUUUCUCAUCUGAUCCUAAAUCAUUCAACAACCUAAGUGUUGUAGCUCUCUUUUUCUUCGCUGCUAGACGAGGAGCUGGGUAGAUAGAUAAUAGAUCCUCUCCCUAGGAUGGUAGCUUCUAUUCCUUGAUUGCCCCGCAAGUUAAAUAAGGGAUUCUAAUGCUUCUUGAAGCCAAAUAAGGGCAUAAACCACUAUAUAGAGUCUUGAGUGCCUUCCCUUCGGAAACCAACUAAGGCAACUCCGAUUGAAUGCGAAAUCCCGCUAGCCAUUAUUCGUAUGAACUCCUAGAUCCAUGAAGGACAUGGGCAUCUGUAAGCCGGUGUAGCUAAGCGAAAAUCUCGCUAGCCAUUAUUCGUAUGAACUCCUAGAUCCAAUAAGGACGUGGGCAUAUGUAAGACGGUGUAGCUAAGCAAAGAGCGAAAAGAAGGAAUCAGAAAAUCAAUGCAUUCCUUCUUAAUCUUGCCGAUGAUGAUAUCUUAAUCAAAGAAAAGAAUAUUUAAUAAGAAAAUAAAAUUUCCUUUUCCGGGUAUAGGUUUAAUUAAGAAUUCCAGGUGGUCCAGUGGAUGGAUUAAGCUAUUGAUCAUAUCAUAGGUCAAGGACGGAACGAAGAACCAACGUUUUUCUUCCUCCUCUGUUCUUUACUAAGAUUGUAAUAGAUUCGUGCUUUCUCUUCCCCGAGGGAACGGACUAGCACAAUAAUUCCGAGUCACCUAUCCAUUAUGUGAGUGAGCCCGCCCUACGGAUCCCCUUUCUUCAAUGGGGGAGGGGUCAUAGCUUCUCUGCCCGCUUAGUUUCACAAGUCUGAAUGAUUUGGGGCAGAGAAUCUGCCGUAGAUGUGAAAUUUGCUAAUUUUCAUUCUCAGCUUUCUCAUCACAUGAAUGANNNNNNNNNNNNNNNNNNNNNNNNNNNNNNNNNNNNNNNNNNNNNNNNNNNNNNNNNNNNNNNNNNNNCAUGAAUGAGACAUAACUUCUUAUCAUAAGAAUAGUGAACUAGAAAUCAGAUUUUGAUUGGUUUGAGGAUUUCGACCUUGAACUAGAAGAGGUUCUUUUUUCUUUGGACAGACAGGAAAGAGAGAUCGCGAUGAUGACGACUUGAAGAAGUAUAGUAUAAAUCAAAUAGAAGGCUCGUUCGUAGAUCAGCACAAAGCUAUUAAUCCAAUCCGAUCCAAGAUGAGUAGCCGAGUUCUUCUUCCUAUGGUUGGCACGAGAAUCCCUCUCAAAGGGGAAGAAUCUGAUUCGAUCUCCGGGCUUAUAACCAACCUAUGAACAAUGGUCUGUCUCGUCUAGUUGGUCUCCUUCUUGGCAUCAAGAGUCGUCAGUACUGAAAAGGCCCUGGCAUUACCUUCGUUCCGGGCUUAUAACCAACCUAUGAACAUUGGUCUGUCUCGUCUAGUUGGUCUCCUUCUUGGCAUAAAGAGUCGUCAGUUCUGAAAAGGCCAUAGCAUUACCUUCGGGAAAUCUAGGAGGACAGCUCGCCCAGCCUAUGGUGGACGUUGGUUGAGUCGGCGAUGAUUACGACCAUUCAAAUUCAUUUUUCCAUUAGCUGGAGUAGGAAGGGGGCUGACGUCGAUAAGUUAUUAUAUAUAAAAGAUAAUUAAGGCAUUAGGAAUCUGGGUGAUCACGCGCUUCACGUGGUAUUUAUUAGGAUUAGGACUGAGAAAAAUUACCGCUUAUUUCAGACAGCCCGGACCAUCGCUUUUAUCGUCAACAGAGAGAGCCGCUCGAUAAAGGAAGUCGGCUUAGGUGAUCACACGCUUCACGUGGUAUUUAUUAGGAUUAGGACUGAGAAAAACUACCGCUUAUUUCAGACAGCCCGGACCAUCACUUUUAGCGUUAACAGAGAGAGCCGCUCGAUAAAGGAAGGCAGCUUUGGGAAAAAAUCAUUCCUUUGCCGGGCGCAAGUCAAAGUAGUAAAAAAGGGCAACUGGGAAAGUAGCGAGCAGGAGCACUGUUGGGCUUUGUGGUCGUUAACGGGAACAAAUGAAGAGGAGCACAGCAUCCUACGCACUCAAUUGGCUAAUCAAAGUUAAAGCGGACAGCUUCUUUUGAAUGGGUCACCAAUAGAACUGUCGGUUCUUCAAAAUCUAACAUCGGGACCACCUUUAAAGUUACCCGGUCUUGUUCCAAAUCAGCCGUUCAUUCAACACUGCUGCAACCUCUGCACGCGUUAGUCGACGGCAGAAGUGCUUUUUCAGUUUGUUAUGCGUUCCAACCCAUGGACUUGGUAGCAGGAGGUUCGGACGAUGGUUGUGUCCUGAACCCAGUCAGCGGCACAUCUCCUAUCUCCUAAAGAAGCGGCUGAACAGCUGCGAGCCACUUGCUUCCUGGAGAACGGCGGGAGAGGCUAGGCGAGACUUAAAGGCUGUAGCGAACAACCAUCUGGUAAGAGGUUUUUCCAGAAAGCAAAAACCCGAAGGUUAGCCUUGCAUGAACUAGGGAAAGAUAGAACUCAACUUCACACUGGUUAGCAAAACCCUAGAGCUUCCCUGCUUCGGUAGAACCUUCUACUUUACCAAGUAAAAAGUUUAAGCUGGGACACCACGUCGAUUAACUUUGCAUUCCGCCAUCACAUAUUCCACUUCCUUCGACAAGGAAGUCGUCAUCCUUUCCGGUGGCCUCUUGGGAACGCCUCUUGUAGGGUCUUCCAUGUCUGGAUGGUAUGUCUUUAGACACCCCACAUGGAAGACAGGGUGGAUCUUUAGCUUGGAAAGAAGCUGAAGUUUUUAGGCAACUUGUCCUACUUUCUCUAUGAUGGGGAAUGUCCCCUCAUACUUGCGGCUGACACCCUUACUAAAAAAGAAGGAAAGAUUUUUUGCAAUAGUGGAUUUUUUUUUUUUCUCAUCCUUCACUUGCGGCUGACACCCUUACUAAAAAAUAAGGAAAUAUUUUUUUACAACAGUGGAUUUUUUUUUUCUCAUCCUUCAGCUUGGAAAUUCAGUUUCAUGAUUGAGUUUCCCCUUUCUUGUACAGAUGCUGGGGAUCCAGCCCUCAUAGGAAAUUUCCUAUGAGAUCGCAUUCCAUCGAUUUUUUAAGAUUGGAGGGCUCCCUCUAGUGCUAAAUAAAAAAGAUCUUUGAGCAAGGGAUAGCUUUUCAACAGGCGAAGAAAGGCCUCACCAAACACUUCAUGCCCAAAGGAAGAAGCAAAUGAGCAAUCGAGCCACGAGGAAACGAAUAGUGAUGCAAGUCUUCAUCAAAGCUCACACGCUAAGUUUGGAACCCUUACCCUUUCCUGCGAAAACCAAAGCAUCAAAGACAUCGGCCACCUAGUAAAAAACCGACAGUCGAUGAAGAAAAAUGCUUCAAUUAUGGACAUCCCAGUGGGUAAUCUAGCCAUGAGGAAACGGAUAGUGAUGCAAGUCCUCAUCAAAGCUCACACUCUAAGUUUGGAACCCUUAACCUUUGCUGCGAAAACCAAAGCAUCAAAGACAUCGGCCACCUAGUAAAAAACCGACAGUCGAUGAAGAAAAAUGCUUCAAUUAUGGACAUCCCAGUGGGCCCCCUCACAUCAGGUUUUCGAGAAAGAAGAAAUAAGAAUUGCUUUUAACUUCCUAUCGGCCCUCUUCUCUGUUCUAGGUCCUUUCCUCACUGAGGACCAUGGGCCAAUAACUUCAGAUACAAAGCAUGAUUUUUCCAAGACGUGCAAGGCGCCCCCCAGCCUUCCAACGGGAAAGACUUCAACAUAAAAGUAAAUUUCCGUUCUUCCUGUUCCCGCGGCAGACGUAUGCUCGGUUGAAGCCCCCCAGCCUUCCAACGAGAAAGGCGUCAAUAUAAAGUUAAUUUCUGUUCCUCCUGUUCCCGCGGCAGACGUAUGCUCGGUUGAAGCUGGAUUUAGAAAGGAUCGGAAGCGGUGCAUAUAUGACAUUUUAAGGACAAGAAAUAUUGGACUAGACUAUUCCUUAUGUAGAUGUAGUGGAUAAGCUCUCCGUGUUGGGAUAGGCGUUCGGAUUUCCACAGCUAUUCUAAGAGCGUGCUGAAUCCAACCGUUGCACGUUCCCCCUUUGGCUAAACCACCACUUCAGGCUAACCCUUUUGCCUGGCUGGCACUUACUCAAGUUAGAGUUUUGCGCUCUCUCAAAACGCCUGCACGCCUGCGAAAAGAAAACCCUUUUGCCUGGCUAGCACUUACUUAAGUUAGAGUUUUGCGCUCUCUCAAAACGCCUGCACGACUGCGAGUGUUCUCCCCGAUCCUACAAAUUGAGCUUCCGAAAGGGGUGCUUGCUGGAGCAGCUCAACGAGAUCUGGGUUCAAUUCUCGCUAUGCCUCAUCCUAGUGGGUAUCUGCGCCAUUAGGCCAGCUAAAAUUGCUCUGAUCUAGUGUGAAUCCGCUCCUGUUCGGGCUCACUCAGCAAAAAGCUAACUCUCUUCUCCUGCUUUAGCUUGAGCCCACCCGGACAUACUCUAGCAUGACACCCGUCACCAUACAUAGGUAAUACCAUGUCCAAAUGCUAUCUUCCUCGAAGUUUCUGCUCAAUAUGCUCUUGUUUUUGGGGGGAGGAUCCACUACAUGGACCAACGGAGCACUGUCGGGUCGAUAGCCCUUGAUCCGGGAUCUAUUUUUAACAAAAAAUAGUUGGAUUUGCCAGCCUUAGCUGAAGAAAACUGUUCGUAUAGUAGUAGGUUUGAGAACCUGUUCAAACCAUCUCAUAGGUCGUCCGCAGUACAAAAGGUCAAUUUAAUUGCGAUACUAAGCUUCCUUUUACGCCGUGGAAUGAACCAUUACUCAAAGACAGUAGGCAAGGCACUAUAAGGAAGUGAAGUAGGGUCGGUAGAUAUAGGCUUCUCUUCUAUUGAAUAAGUGGACUCCCCCCUUUCACUUGAGCAUUGAAUUGACUCUUCUUCGAUAGCUUUCAAGCGGUGAACCCGAUCCAAUUUGUUUUAUAGUCGUAUCUUAUUGGCUUGAGAUUCUCCAUUGAGUGUUUCGUACUUACGACUUGGAUGAACUUUCAUAAUAUCUGUAAGGGCUCGAAUGGCGUGAGCCGCAUGCGGGGAGACCCGCACGUACGGUUUUUAGGGGGAUCUGGUCGAAAAACCGGCCGGCGCCCACCCGACUAGAGGGACUGAGAAAUUAAUUGAGUAAAAAACUUAUCUUCAACGCAUAGCUUUUUGGUUGAUAUUCAUGUCAAAACCACCAAACAGAGUUGUUGCUUAACUUCUUGUGAAGCAACCUAGCUGUCGGCUACAGAGACGACAACCUCGUCAAAGAGGCAAGCUUUGCUCUGAUACCAUGUAAUCAGAGAGGAUAACUUGUUGUAUUUCUAUUCAUGAAUACAUGAGAUUUAUACACUUAUACAAGACUCUAUCAAAGGAAACAUAAUCAAACAAAAUAAAGGAAAAUAUCUUAAGGAUCGGCUUCUAUAACUGAAUCACCAAUCUUUGCAAAGUAAUCUAUUUAUAUCUCACUAAUUAUUUUGUAAUAAAUGCUAGCAAAGCAUAAAAGAAUAGUACAUUAGGCGGCACUUUCUUCAUUAACGGUCUUAUGCAUCAACCGUAGAGGUGCACAUGGACAUGGUUGGUUCAGAUUUUAUCAAAUUCAAAUAGAACCUUUCUUCAUUAACUGUCUUAUGCAUCAACCGUAGAGGUGCACGUGGAAUUGUUCAGAUUUUAUCAAAUUUGGAUUGGUUCGGUUUUAUUGGGUAUUUGGAUUUUUUUGAUACAUGAACUUUAUUUCAAUCUUACUUUGUGAAGAUUAUCCAUAAAUUUUGAUAAGUGAAUAUAUGUUUACUAAAAUUUAAAAAAUUGACAAACAUAUGAUCUAUUUAAAAUUCUUAUUAGAGAAUAUUUCAGUAACACAUGAUAGUUAUUUUCUUAGUCAUCUAAUAACAAUUUUUUGUUGAUGUAUGCUUUCAAGGGUAUCUGAAUUUAAUAAUUAAAUAUACAAAUCAAUAUCCGAAUUUUUUGGCCUCGACUCUCUAUUAGUCGAGGCCAAAAGUAGGUCUUAACAUGGAAUGACAAACAAGAAAAAGAGAAAACUAUUAUAUAUUGGCACUCUUUCCGUCGCAAUUUAUGUGAUGGUAUUCUAAUUUCGAGAAUCAAAUAAAUUAUCGUUUGACCAUAAGUUUUUCAUAUGUCUUUUAAUAGCAUUACAAAACCAACACACAUAAAAACAACAUAGGCAAGAAAAUGAAUACGAUAAGUUUUCUCAGGCUUCUAUGUCACGACCCAAAUCGAAGGGCCGCGACGGGCACCGGGUGCCUUACACGACCGUGUACCAACAUAACAUAACUUUCUUAUUAUACUAUUAUUGGUAAAACAGAACAAACACACAUAAAAACAACAUAGGCGAGAAAAAGAAUACGAUAAGUUUUCUUAGGCUUCUAUGUCACGGCCCAAAUCGAAGGGCCGCGACGGGCACCGGGUGCCUUACUCGACCGAGUACCAACAUAUCAUAUCUUUCUUAUUAUACUAUUAUUGGUAAGUGAGCUAGAAAAUCUGACAAGAGAUAACAAGAAUAAAACAUAAGGGAAUGCUCAACAUAUGACGACCAAACAUGAUAUACAAACUUAUACAUGUGACAUACGGGCCAGAGAUAACAAGAAUAAAACAUAAGGGAAUACUCAACAUAUGACGACCAAACAUGAUAUACAAACUUAGACAUGUAACAUACGGGCCUAUAAGGCCGACAUGACCAUUUGAAAUCUGAAAACAUAGGCCGACAAGGCCAUAUAUGUAUCUGUAUACAUGACAUCUGUCUAGAUUAAGACUGCAUAAUAUCAUAAAAGGUUGGGACAAGGUCCACGAUACCAAUCAAUACAUGUACUAAUUAUACUGACCAAAGAAGCAACUCCAAUGCAAAUAGAGCGCACCAACACCUUUUGCUAAGCUGAUAGCCUACUUGGAGGACUCUCAGCCUUUCAAUCAAGACCCACGAUCAUGAAACGCAGAAUCCCUGGCAUAAAGGACGUCGGUACGAAUAAUGUACCGAGUAUGUAAGGCAGGAAAACAUAAACAAGAACAGUAAUGUAAAGAGGGAUAGAGGAGAUACAACCUAUAACAUCUAGGUGCCUCUAGGGCUACUGACAUGAAAUGCAACAUACAUAUAUAUAUAUAUAUAUAUAUGUAUGUAUAUAUAUAUAUAUAUAUAUANNNNNNNNNNNNNNNNNNNNNNNNNNNNNNNNNNNNNNNNNNNNNNNNNNNNNNNNNNNNNNNNNNNNNNNNNNAUAUUUAUAUAUAUAUAUAUAUAUAUAUAUAUACAUACAUAUUUAUAUAUAUAUAUAUAUAUAUAUAUAUAUAUAUACUUUUAACAAUAAACGUGUGGUCAUCAUCGUCAUCAUCAUCAUAUCGUACCCUGCCUCAAAGAAGACUCAAUAAAAACAUACCUGGCCAUCAUAAGGCUCGGUUGAAUUACCCGGCCAUGUGGAGCUUAGCAAAACCCAACUGAUCAGUGGUUGCACAAUAUGUGUCGCACCUUGCUGACUAUGGUGCAGCUUGGUAGAGUAAAAUAGAUACAUAUAUAUAAUACAUGUAGGACUAAUUGGAAUCAUAUUCUGAUCCUUUUAGAGGGACAUAAGGUCAAUAUUCUCCGUACACGUUAUUAGGAAUAAUCCUUCAUCAAGAAUUUUAUAAGAAUCAGGAAGUACCAAAAACAUCGAUAACAUAAGAAUAAGAAUAAAGAAGAAACCUCAACAUCCGUUGUUCCAUACGAAAGGAAACAAUGUAAGUACUGCUAGCUUCAUUGGAUUAUGUACAAUCGAGGUCAUGCAAAAAAAGGAAAAGUAUAGCCUCACAUACCUUGUAUAUACUGCCAAUCCUCAGGCUAUGCAAAUGUCAUGACUCCUUAGUGUACAAUAGGAGAAAUUACACUAUCGGUAAUGUUUAACCGUCAUAACUAUAAUGUACCGACCACAACCGAUUUUAUGAUGAAAUAGAUAUAAACAGUCAAGUUACAACUCGUACAAGCAUAGAUAAUGAAAGGAGAAGCACAAACUUACCUUGGACUGAGUAGAACCACGAAACCUAGUCCUUCUCCAUCUAAAAAUCAGUCCCCCAACAGAACUAUAUUAUGGAGAAAGAGAAACUAGCUAGAUGUCCGAACUUUUCGGCGCUAGAAUCGCAUCGUAACAUCCUUGGGUUUAUGUGAAAUCUUUUUGUGGGGAGAAGUUACAGCGGUGAAAUUUUAUUCUCAUGGUUUGAAAGAUGAGAGAAUUAUAUGAGUUUAUAAGCCCUUAUAUGUCCCCUCUUUUCCGACUUUGGGGUUUUUAAUUUUGUCCACUCCUUUUGGCAAGUAGGUGAUGCACCGGCUUGUCACCUACUAAUCUAUGCUGGCUCGUAAAAAUUUAAUAAUCUCUUUACUCAGAUACCGUAUAGAUGAAUGGUUAAAUGCACUAAAAACUAGACUCAUAGAUCUGUAAUUUGGUAUGUAUAUAAUGCCUUUGUUCCAAGUAUGUUGGGAGAAAAGUACAUCUACAUUUUACCUAAAUUUCAGCAUAUUAUGAAUGCAACUUGUGAUGACCUUUGUCAACGUUUUGUUCCACAACACGCUUGACUUAAAAACAUAACACAUUAAUAUCAUACAUUUUGCCAACGUUUGGUUCCAGAACACGCUUGACUUAAAAAUAUAACACAUUAAUAUCAUACAACUAAAAUAACUCAUAACUUAACCUCCUCAUCAGGUUAAUAAUCCUAGUCUCACCCCAAAAGUAUAUGUUAUAAUAUUCCAAACUUGUGGACUUUCGAUGAAACUUAUUUUCUUCAAUACAUUUAGUGUCUAAAAUACAUAACUACAACAGUUUAAUUAAGCCAGGUGUGAUAAAGCAACCAUAUUAAAACCACAGAAUUCAGGAGUGCUUAACACCUUCUCCCGGAUUAAUAGAAUUCCUUACCCGACUUUUUGGUUCCUGCUUUCGAUGAAACUUAUUUUCUUCAAUACAUUUAGUGUCUAAAAUACAUAACUAAAAUAGUUAAUUAACCCAGGUAUGAUAAAGCAACCAUACUAAAACCAUAGAAUUUAGGAGUUCUUAACACCUUACCCCGGAUUAAUAGAUUUCCUUACCCGACUUUUUGGUUUUGCGGAUUUUAAAUAGAGUCAAUUUCCUUGAAUUGGAAUUUUUAAGUAAAUGGUGAUUUGGGACACCGUAAAAAUUUAUUUCAAGUGGCGACUAUUUAAAUUAAAAUAAAUUAAUCCCUUUCAGAUAAUGUCACUUGAAUUGGAAAAACUCUUUUUUUUUCUAUCUCCUCGAAAAAUUCCAAGUGGCGACUCUUUUAAUUAAAAUAAAUUAAUCCCUUUCAAAUAAUGUCACUUCAAUUGGAAAAACUCUUUUUUUUUUCUCUCUCCUCGAAAAAAGGAGGUGUGACACAUAUGACGACUCUGCUAGGGAUAACAAGAACUCUAGCUUGAUGUAUUAUUGUAUUUUUUGGCCUAAUCUGCUAAUUGCCGCUUAUUUACCACUUUGAUAUUAUUUGAAUUGUAUUAAACUAUCUUCUUAUGCCUCCGUCCUAUGUCUUCUGAAUUUAUGGUGCACACGUGGUCGUGGCCCACUUUUCUGUUAGAAGUCAUACCAAUUAGAAUGAGGCUGGGUCAAUUAACUAGGCCGGGUAGACUUUCGUGCUCCUGCUACGUUGCCCCCAUCUCGGCUCAAGCUGUCUGCUUGAGUAAGCCCUGUCUAAAAUACUCCCCCGAGGAUUUAAACCUAGAAUAACAUAACCUCAUAUUGGAUCCCUAGUAGAAACAUUUGUUUCCAUCAUGUGUAUCUGACAUUUGGAACUCAACACAGGGGUUGGGUCCGUCUAGGUCAUGUUUACUUGAGAAUUGCAAGACCAUCGUGAUGCAUCUUAUGUGUUACUUGUGUAUUAUGGGAAAACUACAAGGGAGGAAAUUUACCCAGUUCAUGAAAAAUCUCAAUGUUUACCCCCAAAAAGAUUAUUACAAAAUAAGCCUAAAUUUUUCAACAAAAGAAGUGUCAUCUAUUCCUAUAACAUGUACGAACUACGCGGGUCUGAACUACGCGGGUCUGAUUCUCACCAGAUGUGAGAUACAUAGGCAACCUCCAUAGGGUUCGGACCCAUCUUGCAAAAAUAAUAUUUUUAAAUAAAGGGGAAAUAUGUCUAGUUUUUUUUAUCCAAAAAAAAUAAGCAAAUGCAGUUUCGGCUAAUCCUCAACCGUCUUUGUUGGAAUAUCUUUAGAACGUCUUCAAAAUUGUCGAGGGCUAUUCUCGCAAGAAUUGACAAGUCCGUCAAUUAGGCAUCACUUAUACCGUCAUGCUCAUCCCGACCCUAAAGUUAUCUUUGGAUGUAUGAAGGGGCCAUAAUUUAAAAAAUCCACCAUCUCAUUGAUUUUUCUUAAAAUAGAGUUAUCUACAAAAGAUUGUUUAAAAAAUUAGUGUAUUGAUUUUGUCUUUUGAGGCUAGUGUCAACCCUAACCUUAAUCACCUACAGGUACGAAAUGAGCACUAUCCAGAACACACCAUUGAUGGUAGUAGAUGAGUUUCUACUUCAGCUUCAGAUGUGGUGGUAUGACUUAGGAGAAGAUGGUCAGGAAUGGGUCACUAAGUAUCUGGAAGCCCGUACAAAUAUUAUGAAAGUUACACCACCUCGAAUGGCGUGAGCCGCAUGCCGAGAGACCCGCACGUACGGUUUUUAGGGGGAUCUUGUCGAAAAACCGGCUGGCGCCAACCCGACAAGAGGGACUGAGAGAUUAAUUGAGUACAAAACUUAUCUUCAAGCUUUACCUUAUUCUGAUCGUUCAGAGUGCGAUCGCGAGUCACUGAAUGAAGUCCUCCGUUUCUUUCGGAGGUGCUGACCCGUAGCGAGGCAGAGAUGACUAAGUGACAUAUGGAAUAUGGAGACGACAACAGCAUGUCGUAGAAGGAGAUAACAGGUGGAUCCAACGACCCACUAACACUAACGUAUCAACAACUACAUCCCCGAGGGGCAGUCAAACGGGGGCGUGAAUGCGAGAUGCCAGCGGAAUGAUCGGCCGUACAGAGGCUAGGGCUGCUUCCUUCCCACCGCGUCCUUCCUUGUGUGUCGGAGAUAUAAAGCGAGUGCACCGGAAAAGAACGGGAACUGGAUCGAUCUAUUCUAUGGUGAAGCAUCCGAAGCAUAACUGCACACUCACACGAUCUUUGCCGAGAGAUAGGAGCAUUCGGUGGAACCGGUGAACUACACUUGCUUCAGAAAACAAUGGGAACUGGAUCGAUCUAUUCUAUGGUGAAGCAUCCGAAGCAUAAGUGCACACUCACACGAUCAUUGCCGAGAGAUAGGAGCAUUCGGUGGAACCGAUGAACUACACUUGCUUCUUGAUAGAUGUGUGGGACAGAGGGCUCAUGGUACCUGCUGCCCACCCUUCCUCCUCUGCUUUGAGAACCGUGUCAACGGAGAGUGGGGAGAAGAGAAGGAGGUCCUCAUACAGAGUCGCACACUUACUUGAGCACUGCGAGAGACUGGGGAAUGGGUCGAAUAAACUCCCAUGGGGUCGGAAAAAUAAUAGACGAAGCUUUACUUAGAUAGGGCUUUGAUUGGAUUUUUUUAUUAGUGAUUGGAAAGGAGGGUGCUUGGGUAUGUUAUAGAAAGGGAAGGCGGAAGCAUCAAAUGGCGAAGAGAGGCGGCUCGGUAGGGAAGGAAAGGGAAAUCGUCAAGGAUGACUUCUUUGUUGGCGGAACGUAGGGCUAAAUAGCGAGAGAGAUUCUCUGAGCCGGUCUGGAUUUCCAAUGCCUCGGGAAACUGGUCGAGAUAGAUGACUGUACCUUUUUCCCAUCUUCCUUACCGGUAGGGCAAUCUUCUCUUAUGGCCUUCACCCCCCGCCCGGAAAUAGAGAACCAAGCCCCUUUCUGAUCCAUUCAUUUCUGCAAGCAGGGAGGAUCCAGAGCGUUGCCCCCUCCUAUUCGAGGUUUUUCCUCGCCCCACAAGCACCCAACCUUCCUUUUGCUCUUCCUUCGGUUUUCCUCUACGAACGCGCCACUUAGAAUCCCUACUCAUAUUCCAAAGGCGCUACUUCAAUUCAAGUGCAAGCCCCCCUUCUAUUGCAUAACUUAAAAAAGCUAUAAACAAAGUACCAAAGUGGUUGAGGGAACGAUACGCUUUGGUUACCGGUGAAGGAUUCCAAAGGCGACCAGCUUUCCAUACUAGUUGUUACCUUACGCUGCCAUUUUCCAAUAUUAUUGAAUAUUAUGGCCCGGGGCCAAGAUAACUCAAGUGGGAGAGCCGUGUUAUGGGUGACCUUAUUGCACAGUUCAAAGAGCACUUGUGUAUGUGAUGCAAGUGAACGUCUACGAAAAAGUUGUCAUAAAGUUUCGUUCUUUGUUCCGUCGUCGACCCUAUCAAUGCUUCUAUGAUGGUCCAAGAACACGCUCAUUCUUCAGCCGUAGAGAGACUUUUGAAUUGCGAGGUACCAUUACGAGCUCAAUAUAUACGAGUGUUAUUCCGUGAAAUAACUCGAAUUUCAAAUCAUUCACUUGCUUUAACUACUCAUUCUUCAGCCGUAGAGAGACUUUUGAAUUGCGAGGUACCAUUACGAGCUCAAUAUAUAAUAGUGUCAUUCCGUGAAAUAACUCGAAUUUCAAAUCAUUCACUUGCUUUAACUACUUAUGUUAUGGAUGUAGGAGCAUCAACUCCGUUCCUGUGGGCUUUUGAGGAGCGGGAGAAAUUGUUGGAAUUCUAUGAAAGAGUCUCGGGAGCCAGGAUGCAUGCCAGUUUCAUACGACCAGGUGGAGUGGCACAAGAUAUGCCUCUUGGCUUAUGCAUAGAUAUUGAUUCGUUCACACAACAAUUUGCUUCUCGUAUCGACGAAUUAGAAGAUAUAUCAACCAGCAACCGUAUCUAGAAACAACGAUUAGUGGAUAUUGGUACUGUCACUGCCCAGCAAGCAAAGGAUUGGGGAUUCGGUGGUGUAAUGAUAAAAGGUUCUGGGGUAUGAUGGGAUUUGCGAAAAGCAGCACUUUACGAUGUUCAUGACCAAUUGGAUCCUGACAUACCAGUAGGUACCAUAGGAGAUGACACGCUGGAGUUGGCUUCUGGCACAACAAGGUGAUGCCUUAUCGCACCGUAGGCGAACGCAGUAGCGUUCGUGGUGGUGCUUCAGGAUUCCAAUGUACUGCGUCCAAGAUCAGAACAAGCUUGCCGGCGGACCACUGCCGUCCCAUUAUUGAGUGAGCUGGAGCGCAGCCAUCUUAUCCACUGAACUAGCUAGAAGCUAUCGCUUCGGGUCGAAGCACUAAAAGAAAAGGACCGGGAAACGCGGCGGCAUAGGAACCACGGGACCCCCUACUAGUAAAGGGAAAAUGGAAGUGCGCUCCUGCGCACCAGCUGAAAAGGCCCUUUCCCUUUUUAAUAAUAUAAGGUAAGCUUUUGGGACCGCUUACUAGUAAAUGGAAAAUAUAAGUGCACUCCUGCGCACCAGCUGAAAAGGCCCUUUACCCUUUUAACAAUAUAAGGUAAGCUUUAUAGCUCGAACCUAGUCAAGGGGCUUUGAUGCCCUUUGUCUAGGUUGGGUCAUUGGAUAUGGGAUCCUCGUAGAAGGCUGGACCAAGAUCCAGCCGAGAGAGGGCAGUCUUUAGAAACAACAGUUUGGGAAAGCAAGAGAACGCUUCGCGUUUUCUUAUCUUCUUCCCGCCCUAGAAGUAGCACAAGAAGAUGGAUUAGCAUUAUUGACCCAAUUAUAAAGCACAAACACCUUCCUCGUUGGGCCUCCACGCACUGGGAAGAGGCUGACGCGAUGGGAAAUCUGCCACUAGUUACAAAGCUCCAAUAAGGUAUCGAGAGGGCUAUCACAGUCAGGUGCGAAUUGAUUACCCCAAUUUGUAAACUACCCCUCUUCCUAUUUAGGGAGUUGAGGCGAAAAAUGGCUUGAUGAACCGUUCGCCACGCACCGGCCACAUUCACUUGCUAAAUUUUUAAACUACCCAUCUUCCUAUUUAGGGAGUUGAGGCGAAAAAUGGCAUGAUGAACUGUUCGCCACGCACCGACCACAUUCACUUGCUUAUCGUAGAGGCUGUGAGUACAUAAUGCCCCACAAGUAGGCUGCUUUUUCCGGAACGCAGUCCGAGAUAACCGUAACCGUGUAUAAAUAGAAAUAUGUCUUCCAUGCUAUCAUUUCGAAAUGUCCGCUUCAACCUCUGUUUCACCUCCCAAAGAGCAAAGUUGGCUUGAUGAGCACAGAUGAGGAAGCGUGAGCAAGAAAACCAAUAAUCUCUUUCUUGUCCUUCUACUUAAGGUUAAGGGGCAAAGAGAAGCGCUUUUGCUACUGAGAAAGCGAACGGUCAGCAUGAAGGUUCAAGACUUAGCCGAGCGUUAGCGAAGCUAGAUUCUCAUAGCGAGGCGCUUCGAGUUAGCGAAGCGCUGUAGUAGCUUCGAAGCCCUAUGUGCUAUUAUGCUGCACCAAGGACACUCCACCUUCUCUAUAGAAGCAGUCAACUGAGUUCUGAACGAAUUAGCUACUUGGUAAUGGCUUAAUCUAUAUAUAGAAAGCCCGAUGAUGGGAAACUACCAUGUUAGGUUGGGAGAGAGAUGGGACCUGUUAUAUAAUAGGGGAAGCAGAUGCAAGCUUUUUCUUUCAAUAGCCGGCCAAAUGACUAAAGGAUCAUCGGUCUACUCUACCUCAAUUCACCAUUUUGAACCUUAUACAGAAGGUUUUUCCGUACCAGCUCCUUCUACCUGUACCACAGUUGAAGCACCUAAUGGAGAAUUUGGUGUCUUUCUUGUCAGUAAUGGAAGCAAUCGUCCCUACCGUCGUAAAAUAAGAGCACCUGGCUUUGCCUAUUCACAAGGACUCAAUUAUAUGUCCAAACAUCACAUGCCAGCAGAUGUGGUCACCAUCAUAGGUACUCAAGAUAUUGUGUCUGGAGAGGUGGAUAGAUAGGACUACUAGUUGCUCGAUCAGGACCCUAGCUUUAUUGCGAGCCAAAAACCCAAUUUAUACGCCCUCUUUCUUUAUUUAAGGAGAUUCUAUCAAAUUAUCCGCCCCGAUGCAGAAAGGAAUAAAGAAAGAAGAGUUGAAGACGGCUUAACAGUAAGAGAGAACCCUCUCAUCUCAUGGCUAGGAACAUCUAUGUAGAUGGGAUUGGAUUCAUUGUGCCAGUUAGGGGUAGGUAUAAACCUUCAUUCAUCUUCUUCUAUCUUCCUUGGAAUAUCCAUCAUCUUGGUCUCGACCUUGUUGAGCUCUCCCUGAUCGAAAGUUCCUAUUUUGCUGCCUCUUCGAUCGUCUCCGACUCCCUAAAAAAUAAGAGUACUUGGUGACCUAGAUGGUAAGGUUCUUUUCUUACCUUAGCUGAGCCUUAUGUCCCUUCAACAUCCCUAUUCCUCUUGCCUUGUCUUGGGCACCGCAGUGGACUGAUUAUCCUAUAUGUAAUAUCUACCCUAAAGAUUAAGAGGAUAGAGGGUCUCCCUUCCAUAGAUUUUAUUGGGAUUGAUUCUCAGGAUCGAGCCCUUAUCAGAGGUGUGCCUACCGACACCUAUCAAAGUCUUCGGCUUGCACGAUGUCUCCUUCCAUUUGCUCCAGCUAUAAAAGAAAAGAAUGGGGGCAACACUUUAUUCUCUUCUGCCACUCUUUGUUUACUUCUGGCCUUCCCGAACUCCUAGAUGGGCGGAGUCAGAUCUUGGAAUAAGCUCCUUUCCAUGGGCAAUCUACUCAAGAGCUUAGGCCCCUAAUUUGGUCUAUGUCUAGGCUGCUGCUGUACUCAAAGGCGAGGGGCUCCAAAAGCGGAUGCGAUCAUCCUUAGAGGAGAGGGGAGGCAACUUGGGAUUCUAGGCAAAGUGCUUUUUUUGUAAAUAGGCCUUCGUAUAGGAUAGGAUUUUCAUUCCUCCCGCCAAAGCUAGAAAAGAAAGGAGCUCUCUCUUUUUUCCAGCCUUCUUUUUAUUUUGAAGGAAUAUAGUGCGUUCUCGCUUUCAGCGGGAAUUCAAGUCAAAAUUUUGUACAAGGAGGAAGGGCCUUCUUUUUAUUUUAAAGGUAUAUAGUGCGUUCUUGCUUUCAGGGGGAAUUCAAGACAAAAUCUUAAUACAAGGAGGAAGCGAAAGGCUAUCUACCAGGUAUGAUAUAGAGUAUGACUAUAAAAAAUCAUAGAGCAUUAUGGAGCAUGCCCAUCCCAUUUGAGCUUCCCCUUUCCUAAGAUCCUGGACGUGGUACUGACGCAUGAACUUGGUUACUAGUUUGACCGCUUUGUUGGCAUAUCAAGUAAGGAAAGGUCUGUUCAUUUGUCCAGAAAUAUGUUUUCGGCCUAUCUAUCGAUUGAACCAGGGGCUGGGCUACCGGUCCUACCCCGGCUUAUUACGAUAGGACCUUCCCUUAUCCCGGAUGACUUGAGCUUGUCUUGGCUCUUUUCUUGGACAACUAGGACUUUGCUUAGACUGUUUGGCACGCUUAGCUUUCGAUCGAGAAAGACGGGAAAUUGUGAAAGCGGGCUUAUUCCCCCAUGUCUUACCUAUAAAAAAAGGAAGGAACUUAUUAGCAAAGAUGGCUUGCUUGCAUACCUUCUCCGAGAUAUGGAAAGGGGGUUCAGAUUCAUGCUGGCAUUAAAUGAAGCGCUUUUAGCACACACCUAAACAAUCGUGUACUUGGGAGCCCCGAGACAUUCUUAUAGAUACAGAGUUCUCGUACUGCUAAGGGAGGAAUACACUUUACCAAGGAUCUACUUAACUAGCAAAUGAGCAUUUCAUACUUUCCCACGCUACUUCCAAGUCCAAUAUAGGUCUUUCCAGUAAAAGGAGGUCGUGUACCAUAGUUUGAGUUAAAAAGAAGAAAGGGGUUGCGAUAGAAAGAAAGGGCACAAGAGAAGAAAGAUACGACAUUCGUUGGAACAAAAGAGAGCAACAAAAAACAAGUUAAGCAAAGAUCUGGUUGAUUCCAUUCGUCAUUCACUAAGGGAAAUGACUCUCGAUUGAGAAAAAACUUGCCACCUUUUUUGUAUCCAUUUCGCGGAUUAGGUUCCAAGCGAAAGAUACCAAAAGAAAGGGAGCGCGCUAUAGGACACUAGCUGGCCUUUACUUGGGCCCAUCCCAAGCUCCCUGCUAAAUUUAGGUUCCAAGCGAAAUAUACCAAAAGAAAGGGAGCGUGCAAUACGACACUAGCUGGCCUUUACUUGGGCCCAUCCCAAGCGAAAUAUACCAAAAGAAAGGGAGCGCGCAUCACUUGACUGUUUCGUUUGUUUGAUCAAGCGGAUUGAUAGCGGAUCGAAGGGAGUGCGAUAGGGCAUCAACUAUCCGGGUUGGUGCCGGACUCCUUUGUGAAUCAGUCCCUUUCCUUGUAUUGUUCGGUUAGUUGAUCGAGAAAGCGGCAGGACCGUAAAGCUUAGCCUUGAGUUGGACUGCGGUCCCGCGAAGCUGGUAUCCUCAGACCGCCUAAGAGACUUUCCGACUGUCGAAGGAAGGAAGUUCACUUUUUAGUGACCAGAAAUUGACUAGUUUAUUUAAUUGACUUAAAGAUCUUUCUUUAUAUUUUACUAGUUAAGGCCUUCGAUCAUCUGUCGGUGAGGUCGAUCGAAAAAGUGAAAGCUUCAUCUAUCGGUGAGGUCGAUCGAAAAAGUGAACUUGAUGAAACCCCGACUUUUUACCAUCAACCACUUUUUCCCAUCACAAGUAAUGUUAUGAACUUUCACUCCCAAUCUAUACUAGAACCUCGAGCCUCUUUCUUCUUUCUGUGCUGCAGGCGUUGAUUGAUGGGAUAAAUGAAGCACGAUGUGGAAUCGAACCACAAUCUUUUUCCUUACAUGGCUAAGUCGAGAGUGAAAAUCUAGACUCAAAAGCAUACGCUUGUUAGAAGUGAUCCCCGCCUCCCCUUUUUGUCUAACCCAUUCGUUCACAGCUUCGCCACUCUACCGAGGGUCGAGCUACCACGCUCUUGAAACCUCGUAAAUUCGCUUUUCUUCAAUGAGAAUAUAAAGAAAACAUUCGUUCACAGCUUCGCCACUCUACCGAGGGUCGAGCUACCACGCUCUUGAAACCUUGUAAAUCGCUUUUCUGCAACGAGAAUAUAAAUAAAACUAGCAAUUUCGCUCAAGUAAGUCGGCUGUAAGUGGUCGUGCUCUCGCUACCAGAAGCUUGGCAGCGACAAAACGCAGUUCCACCCCUAACUAGAUUGCGCCUUUGAGGUUUUGAAAGGCGUGAAAGUUCGAGUCUAGGGACGAAGUGGCUUAGUUGAACAUAGUGAGACUAAGGGACGAAAGGUCAAACCCAGAAAUGUGCAAGCGAGACCCAGCAAAAAAACUUUUUCGCGCGAAAGCCGUUGCUUGUUCCAUAAUUUGCUGGGAUGGGAAGUAUAGAUAGAAAGGCAGAAAAGGAGGCGUCGGCUCGGCAAGCGAGACCCAGUAAAAAAACUUUUUCGCGCGAAAGUUAUUGCUUGUUCCAUAAAUUGCUGGGAUGGGAAGUAUAGAUAGAAAGGCGGAAAAGGAGGCGUCGGCUCUGAAAUGAUGGAAGAUUGAAUCAUCCCUUCAUUCUAUUCCGGCUAUUCCAUUCCGGAGAGUGAUAUAUUCAUGAGCUAGAGAGAUAAGAGUUUCGAUUCGCAGGCUGGAUAUAGAAAUUGUGCCCUAUCUAUGUAUAGUAGUUUCUAGCUCUGCAACUAAACUAAAGGCUCUGGAACAUAGUAUAUGCCUUGAACUGGUGAUGCAGAUAAUGCGGUAUCUCUUGGAAUUGGAGCGACUCCUGAUGAAAUUUACCAAGUCAAAGCAAGGGGUUGAAAAAGCACCACAUGGGACGGGAACAACGUCCUGACUAAACAAGAGUUUCUUCAAUAAUGGCUUGGUCGAAAGUCGUAAAGAAGGCACCGGAUAAGCAGCUAACAUAAACUACUACCGUACAGCGCAUCCCGUGGGCGGCCUUCAAAGGCUAUCAUUUGUAGGACGAGACGCUAACCUACGCCCGUACAUUUCAACCUGUCUCCUUGGGACUUAGCUCUGAAGAUGAAUUCCCGGUUAGCCGAUUACCUUGCCCGGUUAGGAGAACAGUUAGAAGUAGGAAAAGAUGCCGACACCGAACAGUUAAAGAAUUCUCCGUCCAAUGAAUUCCCGAUUAGCCGAUUACCUUGCCCGGUUAGGAGAACAGUUAGAAGUUGGAAAAGAGGCCGACACCAAACAGUUAAAGAAUUCUCCGUCGCUUCAAGACUGCCAGCCUAUUCGCUUUGAGCCGAAGCAGACGCUGCCCAUGGAGAGCCUUUUCCUUUGUGAACAUUUGUGUGCCCAUAAUACAUGACAAAAGUUGGGCUUCUAGACGCCUUACAAUAAAUAAGCCCCUCUACCCCCUACUCUAGUCAGCUUCUAUCUCUUUCUCCAACUUUUGAUGAUCCUCCUACAGGCAAAUCAUCGAAGUCAAGAAGAAGUGAUGGGCCUGAUCUUCCGAUAUUGAUAUCUGAUCCCUAAGUUGAGCACCAAAGUCUGGAUUUCUUCCUAAAGCUAAAGUAAGGAAAAGGCCCCGGUCGGUUCUCCCUUUCUUUCCUGGUUAUCUGUUCUCUAGUCGUAUAAUCAUACCAUUCUGCCAUACUAUUUUCAUAAUUCAUUCCACGUGGAAAAUCGUCUAGCUAGGGAACUCUUCAUCAGACGAUUUCUCAUAUGAUUAUUUUCGUGAAUUCGACGUAGAAGAAGUUCGCCUUGCCUCCCUUUAUUAAGUACUGGGCUAAGGGCGGACCCCUAACCUAAGAGUUCUGGUUAUGACCAGCCGAAAGAAGUUCGCCUUGCCUCCCUUUAUUAAUAUGGGCUAAGGGCGGACCCUAACCUAAGAGUUCUAGAUAUGACCAGCCGAAAACAUGCCCUCUAGAUGCCAUAUAAUCGUCCUUUCAGCCUAUUCCCGCUUAUGCGUACUUCAUGGCUGAUAGGCCUACAGACGCUUUACACCCCGGAAUAGCCUUGCUUUCGCGUUCCCCCUCCUUCCGUAGAUUAGGUUAGCACUUAUGCUGCAUCACGCAACUAUAUUCAAUCAAUUGAGUAGAGAGGGCAAUUCAAUCAGUCGUCAUCCUUCGCUCUUGUGCUAAAGGCUCUCUUACCACAGGUUUCCAUUCCAUCCUUUUUCGAAUGGGUAGAUGCUUUUCUCCUCAUAUUUUCUAUUUAGUCGGCACUCGUGUCUGUCGAGUACUUUUAGUGGUCUUGCUCUUCCUUCCUCCAUUGCUGAGGUUAGCUCUGUAUUUUUGUCGUGUACUUUUUCUCUCUUUCCAAUUUGAAGGAUUAAGUCUUCCGCUAACAUAACUAAAAAGAAAGGAAAGCAAGGAAGAGGAUUAAGCUCUGUCCGAGAAGAUCGGGUAUUCAACUUCAUUCAUGCCGAGCGGCAAUAAAUGUACUUUUUUGCCUCGACCGUUCUUCACUUCAGCCUGACAGGCUCCUCAAGGUCAUAUAGCCCAAGUCCUUUGCUUCUUUGUAAUCGGACUGUACUUUCUCUUUCUUAUCUCACCAUUGGUGACAGUGACGAUUCUUUGCAGCGUAGAAGAAGACUUCCGGGCUACCCUGUGAAAUAUGAGGAAAAAACCUUCCAUUGAGAGGACGAAUGUCGCUCCAGAUUUAUAAACACCUCUGCCUGAGAAGGUUGUUGUAAUGCAGGAAGUGGCAUCUUUACCGAGAGUUGAAGUAAUUCUCCCCCAGCCCAAGUUUAGAGAUUUCGUCAACGGGGUCAUGCUCUUUGCGAUAGCAUUGACCGUCAAUCACUUAGCUUUCGACAUUAGGAUUCGGAGGCUUUCGCUGGCGGGCUUUCGUCAUCCAUCACUGUCUGGGCUGGGCCGUCAUUGUAAAGACGUGCAUCUGUACGCACUAGACUCCUUUAUAUAAUGGCUUCUUAUCAGCAAAUACCCCCUUCUCAUCAACAUAUUUGAAGCAUUGAUGAAGCGUGGAACUUUCUCAGUCCCAAAGUGCGCUAUUCGACUCUCCAGCCCUUCUCAUAUAACUCACUGAUGAAGGGUGGAACUUUUUCAGUCCCAAAGUGCACUCUUCGACUCUCCAACCCUUGACUUUAUAGAACUGGCGACAUUUUCUCAUACCUUUGCUAAGCAUGUCCUUUAGGGCCUCAAUGACGUCACCCUCAUUGCAUAAUUGGUGACAUAGGGGGGAUAGCUGGACAGAGAAAUUAGCCUUCACAGGGCUCCCGUAGGGUCUAUUCCACCAACAAAAACAGGGGCAGGAACGUCUUUCAUAGGUGAUUCAACAACAGCCAUUCUUAUUAUUCUCCCGGGAUCAGAAGCAGAAGGCUAAACCUAAGGCAUCCUUUCUCCUUAUUAUUUCUCUUAAAUAAGAGAUAGCACCAGCCUAAUCCAAGAAUGUUGAUUCUUCUCUUUCAAAAGACUUUGGCUAUUCAAAGCAAUCCGCCCAAUGAGCUACGGCUAGAUGAGCUAAUGCCAGGGGAUUCCUCUCUAGAAAUUUCUUAAUAAAAGAAGACAGGAUAUUAUACCUCUUUAUAUAUGCCAACUGCAACUGAUUCCACUUGAGCAAGAGCAGCUUGCCCAAAAAUAAGAAAGAGAUAUGCGAAAUCAACCAAGACAAGCACACCACAAUCAACCGGUAAUCCCGCAUCUGAUUGUUCAUUGGGUGCGGAGGAAGAAAAUGUAGAAAAAGAACAAGAAAGAAAGGGAGAGUAAGCAAUCAAGUCUGUUAGUGAGUAUGGUAAUCUGGAUAGGCAGUCUGGUGGGAGAUAGAAUACCACCUUUCUUAGGUNNNNNNNNNNNNNNNNNNNNNNNNNNNNNNNNNNNNNNNNNNNNNNNNNNNNNNNNNNGAGAUAGAAUACCACCUUUCUUAGGUGGGUAUGAGUGUAUCUUGAUAGCCCAUGAUCAAAGAGAUAGGUAUGAGAAAUUCAAAUGAUAACGAAAUUAAUUGAAAGAUUAACACGGGACCUUAGAUUGACAUCUUAGAGUGCAUUCCAUAUGUAAAAGGUGUCACCAUCAUGUUGAUGUUGCGGAAGUCAUUAUUGAAGAUUAGUCGAAUUAUUUCAGGACUGGACUGAACCACUCAUUCAUAGGUAUUUUCCCGGCCCCAUAUGAAACUUCCUUAUCCUCGUCUUAGGUCAAAGGAUGCUCAUUUCUAAUAGAAAGAAGGCUUGAAAGCAAGCGUAAUGGAGCCCAACUAGCACACUACGACAACGAACAAAAACGACUACGCUAUGACGCUUUGUAUAGAUAGCAUUGAAGCUCUUAUUAGUCGAGCAGUGCUCACUAGUCAUGUUGGGAAGGCCCAACGAACUAUAUUGGUUGGGUUCUCCUGAGUAGACGACAAGAACAUAGGACGGUGGUGAGAAAGAAAUCAAGAUCUUCUGUCAAAGGCUACUAGCUUUCCACUGUUGGUAAUCGAUCUAGAUGCCAAGAAUCAGACAAGGAACUGACACUUGACUGAAAGCGUUUAUAGAUAGCAUUGAAGCUCUUAUUAGUCGAGCAGUGCUCACUAGUCAUGUUGGGAAGGCCCAACGAACUAUAUUGGUUGGGUUCUCCUGAGUAGACGACAAGAACAUAGGACGGUGGUGAGAAAGAAAUCAAGAUCUUCUGUCAAAGGCUACUAGCUUUCCACUGUUGGUAAUCGAUCUAGAUGCCAAGAAUCAGAAAAGGAACAGACACUUAACUGAAAGAGUUUUUGCCGUGCGCAUCGACGUAACCGCGGCUAAAUAAAAUAAGGAUGAUAGAAGUAGCUGCAAUUGCUAUUGAAUCUACUACUCAUGGAAGGUUUGACGAAGUGCCAGUACCAUUUCAUUUUGCAUAACGCUUUCUUGGGCAAGUGAAUAAUAGCACAGAAAGGUUAAUAAAAGUAUGUCUUAUUUUGCUCCUUCCUCAGGUGAAAGCGGUCUUGAUGCGGAACUAGCAGUUUUUCUUAAAUCAAUUCCAUUAUGUCUUAUUUUGCUCCUUCCUCAGGUGAAAGCGGUCUUGAUGCGGAACUAGCAGUUUUUCUUAAAUCUAUUCCAUUUCAACUCCCCUUUAUCAUUCGACUGGCUAGAGUAGCGUAGCAAUUACCAUGUCUUACACUUUUGGUUUUGCGGCUUGCUUGCUGUAAAUGGACAGAUUCCCUUAUGCACGAAUAGGUCUUGCUAGAAUCAGUUCUUUCAAAGGCUUGUGCAAGAACCCGAUUCCCAUUUCGCUUAGGACAAGACUGAAGGUUUAGGAAGAAAUGCCACAUCGUCAACUGGCUGGAAAGUGGAUGCAGAAUUACCAAUUGACCAAGAUUCCCAAAGGCCCCUACUGAGAGAGACGAGUGCGCUCAAGCGGCUAAAGCCCGGUCUUCUCCUGUGAUGAGGAGGAAGGGGCAUCCGAGACAGUUUCCACCUAAUUGAUUGAACCGCUAGAGACUUCCUUGGGCGAGUAGCACUCGCGGAUAAGAAGGCUUUAGUAGUGCCAAUUUUCACUAUUCUAAGUAAUUUCUGUAGUUAAAUGCUUUGGUCUCGCCCUUGCUUAAUUAAAGGCUAUUCACCCAAAGAUACGUGUUUGGACUAUUCGUAUCUACCAUAGUGGAAUAGCUGUUGUAGUAAGACGUUGUAAAGAGAAAGAGGGGUCCUUGUCUUACUUCUUAAUGGCGUCUCUUAGGUGCCAUCUUCGGAGAAUUGUUCGCUUUGGCCUUUAACAACUUGCUGGUUGACACAGCAAUUAAUGUGCCAUUUGUAAAAGGGAAAAUUGCGGAAUAGGGAAAUGGGAAGAUGCCUGCAAGCAGACUCAAUCUCAAUCAAAGAUUAUUCUACGAUCUUUUUCAAAAAACUGAAGGAAUCGCUAAGAGAUAGAUUGAAAUAGGGUUAGAGGGCGUACAGACUAAGAGCUAUGGGACUUGAACAAAGACGAAUUCAAAAUACAAUUGACCGACAACAGAAAAAAUACUACAGGGAAGACACGACCGAAUGCGGCCACGGAGAGAGUUCGUCAAGCACUAAAAGGCUUAUUCGCGGACGGAUUGAUUGGCUGACUGAAGACAGAAGUAAAUCACCAAGCAAGACGGAGAUUUUAUUGACUUGAUAGAUGCUAGUGACGGACUAGAAUGAAAAGCUUGGGCAAGGCUUGGAUUACUGCAAAAUCAUAAGGUGGGGAAUGGACAGCCCGGAAAGCACAGCCGGAUUGGCUAGUUCGGUUGACAUACUAGAAUGAAAAGCUUGGGCAAGACUUGGACUACGGAAAAAUCAUAAGGUAGGGAAUGGACAGCCCGGAAAGCACAGCUGGAUUGGCCAGUUCUGUUCCCCGUUCUCCUUCCAUAUACUUAUAGGCAGCCGUAAAUGAUAAAGCUUCCAUAGCAAAACCCGAACUUUAGAGAUUAGACAGGAACUGGCCUUUGCUUUCGUCACUAUAGUACGAACCCCAGAAUUUGCACAUGUAUUAAGGAAAUCUUUUUCAAUAGUCAAUCGAGACCGAGUCUCACUCCUGUACGUGGUGUGACGGUAGCUAUGGAAUCAUGUCCGGCUGUGACCGAGUCAGGGAUGGUAUCAGAGCAGCUUCAACCCACACUUGAUCAAAAGGAGGAGGCGUCCUAAACACAGUUGAGGAAAUUGAGCACCGGUAAGUACCGUGUGAAUCCCCCGGGGCAUUCACUAUUCCUAUUUUAAGGGUUAGGUCUAUCCCCAAGUGUUUUCCGCCUUCUUUUAGCCUCAGUGAACCAAGUUCAGUGAUCCAAUCAGCCUGAAUCGGUCAAAAGAAACUCUAACUCGAAUGAUGGGAUCUAAACUUUCUCGAGAGCUUGCUAAAAGUGAUUCCGUCGAGAGAUCUUGCAAGUCCAAGAUCAGCUGUUCAAUGAAACUCUGUAAAGAAGGGCCUGAAGCUUUGGCUCAUUAGGCUUUGACAUGGCAUAAAGGAAGGGAAGCAUUUCGCUGACCUUCAAGAUCCUUGAUUGAGUAGAUCCAAUUGAGAGGGAGUUGAAGUUCUUCGAGGGGAAAUAGACUUUUUGAGUUUAGGGGCAUACCUUAUAGGAGUAAAGGCUAUAAGUCUAAAGGAAGAGUUCAUAGGCAGAUCGAAGUCAAAGCAAGGUUAAUAGCAGUAAAGCAUUAGGCUAUGGCAUUCCACUUUAUUUGCUAUCUAUCCUUGAUGAAGGAAGGCAAGUCAGCGGUCAGGCUACUGCGAAUAUAUAGAGUCUCUCCCUUGAAAAAAAUACGCUAUUUUCAUUCAUUAGCAGUACUUCGGUCAAGGAAAGACAUCUGCGCUGAUAUCUCCGUUCUUCCAUGCUUACUUAUGCGCCAACAAGCCUAAAGAAACUAGCUCUUGCAGUUGUAGCUAUGGUCAAGCCAGUUCAUGAAUGGGACCAUUAGGUUUGUGGUAUUCUAAAGAGUUCCUCAACUAAGUAGUUAAGGAAGCUCCUGAGUUUCGGAUGUUCUAUUAGGGUUAGAAAUAGAGGUGAUAAAACCUGUUACUAGCAUACUUUAAAUUACAACAGUUGAUGACGGGUCUAGAGACCUUUUUUACUUGAGAAAGCUCUUAUAGGAGAGGGUGUUGAGGUCCUCUUACUAGUUCCUACUUCGCUUCAACAAUGUAGCUGAAUAUUGUUGUUAGAGCUAGUUGCCACUUUGUAGCUGUUCUCCUUCCUGGUGCUCUUUGGACUUGGACUCCUGAAAGUCCAAUAAGAUGAUCAUGAAGAAGGGGCUACGGUCCUUUAAGAAGUAAGCUCUUCCGGACUGAGCUGAGGGGAUAAUCUAUGACUUAUUGAGUUCCCGUCCCGCUAUUCCUUUAUGGAAUGAGCCCGUACCGUAAUGCCUUAAUNNNNNNNNNNNNNNNNNNNNNNNNNNNNNNNNNNNNNNNNNNNNNNNNNNNNNNNNNNNNNNNNNNNNNNNNNNNNNNNNNNNNNNNNNNNNNNNNNNNNNNNNNNNNNNNNNNNNNNNNNNNAAUUCAUUGAUUUCACUGUCAGGCUAGCUCACUGCCUCACACCACUCUUAAGAAUUGGCACCGCACCCUAACCCUCUGGUCACUUCACUUGGCUUUCAUCCCUGACUUGUUUUUAUUUAUACCCUGGUUUCUAACGGUUAACUACUUCGGUGACCAUUUCCUUGCGGAUAACAGGAGCAACAGAAAGACUAUGUACCAGAGCCCUCACAGUCGGGACUGAUACAGGACUAAUGUUGACCUGACCUUUCUUAAUUAUAAACUGCUUAGCAAACUCUAGGCGUCCACAAUCCCCGAUCAGAGAUCAAAGACUUUUAUUUUGAUAUGGUCAUCUGAAGCUCCUCCAUGGCUUCCUCGUAAAUUUCUACUACGUGCCUAUCCCUAAUGACAAUGUCAUCACCGAGAAUAGCGUACUUCAGAAACCUUUGCUUUUGGAGUAACACGAGCCUGGAUGAACAUGAAUUUCUUAUAGAAAGAAGAGCCGCAUUGUAAGAAAAUGCAUAGCAGCAGUAGUAGCAGACGAAUCUGCUAGUAUUACAGCUAAAUGAACAUUGCGACCGUCUUAGCCUUACCUUUGCGCAUGCCCCGAUAGCGGAAUCGAUAGAUGUUCUCAUGGAGCGGAAACUAGGUCUAGUGCCAUAAAAGGGAGAGUCUGAUGAUAAGUUGAAGCUGCUCUGCUAAUGCCCUGGCCAAGAGACGACUUAUAUCUACAUCCAUCCUCAUAGUAAGAAAAAGCCAGUGAAAGCUCUCUUCUAGGCGCUUAUUCCCACUCAAGCUUAACACAUAAUUUGUGGAAAUCUUCAUUCUGUACAUCUCCUCGUCAAAUUUGGCAUGAGCUCGCAGCCUAGAUUAUGGGGGAGAAUGAAUGGCUCUGUGACUCCAUAUUUCNNNNNNNNNNNNNNNNNNNNNNNNNNNNNNNNNNNNNNNNNNNNNNNNNNNNNNNNNNNNNNNNNNNNNNNNNNNNNNNNNNNNNNNNNNNNNNNNNNNNNNNNNNNNNNNNNNNNNNNNNNNNNNNCUGAGAAAAGAAGUCAAGGAAAAAAGUGACUCCAUAUUUCUCCUUGAAGGGAAAGCAAAGCUACGUCUCUCAAAAGGGCUUACCCGACCCCCCCUACAUCCAUCCCCUAUUUCCUUUUCUCAUUUAUGGAGCGACAUGUGCGUAGGUUUGAAUGACAGGGUUUGAUUGGUUUCUCAUUAAUUCGGGAUCCCUAUCUCAACGGUGCCGAAGUUUGGUUACACCUCGGGCUAAGGGGUCUAUCCUGCGCCCCCAAAAAAAGGUUCCCAGAAAUAGAAUUUCGCACCAUGCUAAAUCUGAGGGUGGCAUAAUAUAAUAGAUAAAGCAGCCGUGGAGUUGCUAAUGAUUUUUUAUUGGAGUUGUGGCCGACCUGGGUUCCAUUCCUGGGGCUCUAGUGUGGCGAACGCCCCAAAAGGAGAAGGAAAAGAGAAUUGGUGAUGGAAGAACAAAAGGUUGGUCAACAAUUUGUUACGUUUGCUUCUACACAAAACGAUUUUGAGGAUGAGCACAGAAAGAUGCAUAAAAAAAACAAUGCGGAAUAACAAGAGGAAGGGCGCUAGUGCAGGAAAAGCAGAAGUUUGAAAGGAUUGGCAUGAUAAGACGAGAUUAAUCUAGAAGAUGAGAAUGUAGAUUCGUGGGUGGCCGAUGUAUAUAUUAAUGAAAUGUCCAGUAUCCUACAAUUUCGCCUUUUUGAUCAACAAGGUAUUGAAUCACUUCAAGGGGGGAACUCCUGGGUUGAGCUUACGAGGACUAUCAUUUCAAGGACGAUCAGUCCGGAUUUGACCGAUGUCGAUAGUCUCGCCACGGCCUAUUUUCUUUUUCUGGAGAAGGUCGUCUAGUGAGAUAAUGAACGAUGCCCCGAUAAUCCUGCAGCUAUGGGGAACAAGGGUUAUCCAUUUCAUAGCGUAGGCGAGGGUGGGUGAACGAAGUGAAUUGCUACGCUCUAACAGUGAGAGACGGGAUCUCGAGCUUAGAGAUUAGCCUCAGGCCGGACAGUGGUCAGGGGAGGAGCACAGACAGAUGGCUUCUUAACAUUUCACUUCUAAUAACCCUCAGAUGUAGUUAGAAGGUGAACGGGGUCACCAAAGCCACGAUAAGAAAGGCUGAAAUCCAGAUCAUGCAUUGCAUAUAGAGCACCCUGGUUCGAGUCCAGCUCGUGACAAGACCUUUGGUCAUUGAAUCUCUCGGCGCCUCUUCUCUUUAGACGGAGGAUGACUCUCCCAUGAGCUGAGACAGCCUCUUUUUCCUAGUUAGGACAUUCGGAUAGAUUAACCCCUAAAGGAGAUCCCAUCUCUCUUAUUCUUUCUCGAGUUACAGGGAAAGGUCACGGCUGCAUUUAGGAGUGAAAGCGAGGGAGUGAGAUUUUUGGGUUCAUUAGGGCAGACUGAAGACCAAGCCAACCUCGAUUAAAAAAGAAAACUUAUUGCAAAUACAAACGUGAACAGAUUCUUUCUCAUUAGACUAUUUUAACCGAUUGUUUAUGUCGACCCAACGCUACGAUUCUUCUUCUCUUAUGAAAUUUCUAGUUAGAUGAACACUGCUCUGCUGCAUGACNNNNNNNNNNNNNNNNNNNNNNNNNNNNNNNNNNNNNNNNNNNNNNNNNNNNNNNNNNNNNNNNNNNNNNNNNNNNNNNNNNNNNNNNGUUAGAUGAACACUGCUCUGCUGCAUGACGGAGUGAUCUAUCCCUCUUAUGAAAGCUGGUAUCUCAUUUUUGAAAGAGAGUCUCGACGUGGCGGUGUAGACCUAGCUCCAUAGUUGGGCUAGUCACUGGCUCGAGGACGAUCGACCUACCGGACCAGAGGCUGCUGAGAAUGUUAUGUAAAAAAGACCAAGGAGGAUCCUAUCCUAAAGGAUAAGGAGGGAGUAGGAUCUAGCUUUAGGGGCGGAAUCGAAUGAUUACGAGAUAAACAAUGAGACAAAGGAGAGAACUUAGACAAUUCACUUUGAGUACAGGGAAGUCUGCUGGUAGGAAUUCCUCAGGGCGUAUUACGGUUUUUCACCGAGGGGGUGGAUCGAAGCGAUUGCAGCGAAGAAUUGAUUUGAAACGAAGCACUUUGUCUAUAGGCAUUGUAGAAAGGAUAGAAUAUGAGACUAAUCAGUCUUCUCGAAUCGCUCCAGUACGAUGGAUCAGGGGAUCCGCCAGAGAAAAUACAAGACGAUAGAAGAGUUCGCCCCGCCGCGUACGAUCCUCGAAUCAACCACGACUACUAUCUGCGGUCCAUUUUGUUCUCUUCCCUGCCCGGGAAGGGGGAUCAAAGAAUGGUAGCUUGCUUCUCUCCUGGACGGAUGGCGACUUAUGUAGUGGUCGGCCUUCCUACCAGAAUUCCUUCUUGGUCGAAGAGCCCCUUUUUUACUAGUAAGGACGCAGGAAUCAAAAAAACUUGCGCGAAGGACGUUUUCUUCUCUACCCUCUCCUCUCCAAAGGCCAAGGGAGAGACUGCAUCCCUUUACUUCGGUAGCUCUUUUGGUUUCCAAAGGAUAGCGGUAGCUGGGGCAAAGCUCGCUUUCUUUGCUCCGCGAAUGAGAGAUAAAGUCAGAGGAAAAAACACGUUCUCUCUUUGCGAGAUCCGAAAGUGGAGAACCCAUAGCAUUCUAUGGGUACAUAGGAUCAAACGUAAAGCAGCGCUCUCUUGGCCAAGUUUUAAGAGGCAAGAGACUUUAGGGCUUUUUGGAGCUUCUGAGCGUACCGAAUCAAAGCCGAAGACGGAUAAAUGUAGCUUGCCUACCAAGCCGAUAGGCGAAGGGCUGAAGGAUGGAACGUGCAAAGUAGAUCGUGAACCUGUCAUGUUACCCGUUGGUCCUAAGCAAUGUCUUGCGCGAAGCGACCCACUUAGAAAAAGCUCCCCUUUUAGAGGAGCACUAAAAUGCAACUUUGAUCGGACGCGGGUAUCAAAUCUCGCCGCUGAGAUGUCCAGCGGAUUCUUGGGCCUUGACGAAUGGCCGGCCACCUUUUAUGUUAGAAGAGCAAAAGGCCCAGGGCAUAGCAAGAUGAACCAAUGUGAUAAGUGUAAGCUUCCUUGCCCGAACACGAUUGGUGCUGACCACACUAUGUGCUACCGUGGUAGCAAAAGAGGUCAGGCAGUGACAAUAGAGAGGUUGUCACUGAGCCAUCCUAGUCACACGGGAAAAGUGGUCAAAUGGUAAGGCCAUACGCCCGUUUGGCUCCUCGCAUAGUAUAUCUCACAUCCUAACAUCUGAUUGCGGAAUGGGGCAACGCCCAUGAAGCUCCGGCGGAAAGGGAAGGCCUGCCAGGCCGUAUGCCCAUGGGUGCAGGAUUCUUCGAAAAAGCGCGGGCUGACUCGGAGACCUGGGACCUUGGCUUAGUAAUGAAUGAAGGGAAGCUCUUCGAGCUUUCUCCGCCAGCGGGAAAAGUGCGGGCUAACCGAAGACCUGGGACCUUGGCAUAGUAAUGAAUUAAGGGAAGCUCUUAGAACUUUCUCCGCCAGCAGCUUAUGUAGUGGUCGGCCUAAUAGAGCUCGCUAAGCCUCGCUUCCCUCUCCCCUUCACUUAUUAAUUAAGUGGAAAAUAGUCGUCGGCAUUCUAUAAGCGACUUGACCGAGUCUACGAAGCUUUGCUUUUCUUGUAGUCGGCCCGUAAUGCCUCCCUUCAUUUGCUUGCCUCCUUUCAGCUCAGAAUGCCUAAUGCCUAUUAUUUAAGAAGCUAACCGCCAUAAGCUCACCCUUCGGGUCUCGCUUCCAGCGCAGGAGGCCAAGCAAAUAACCGACUUGACCGAGUCUACGAAUCUUGGCUUUUCUUGUAGUCGGCCUGUAAUGCCUCCCUUCAUUUGCUUGCCUCCUUUCAGCUCAGAAUGCAUAAUGCCUAUUAUUUAGUGCUAGAAGCUAACCGCCAUAAGCUCACCCUUCGGGUCUCGCUUCCAGCGCAGGAGGCCGAGCAUUCUGCAAGACGUUCCGGCCUGGGAGCCCCGUUCACAUUUGGUACUUCAGUAGAUCUUCUAAAAUAAGAAGCGCUACUUCAGCCUUAACUACAACUACAUUACGCAAGCCCCGCCGAUACCUACCCAUAGAGUCAAAUUAAAAUUAAAAAGUACCAGUGACGACGACUUUCUUGGUUUAUAGAUUCAGUCAGCUAAACUCCAUCAAACUCCUCAAUCAAUAUCAACAAGAUGUCGUGACCGCUUAGGCUUGGUUUACUUUUGUUUGAAUGUAAACUAAAAUAAGCGGCGUUUAUUCAAACAAAGGGAACCGAAGGUUUCCUUGAUUAGUAGUACGAAAGUAGUUCUACUAUUAAGAUGUUUAAUAUUAAUAAGAAAUAUUCAGGGUCGUAGCUGUAGAACAGAAUGUCGUUCGCCUUUACUUUCACUUUCUGAGAAGGACUUAAGUAGCUAAGAUUCCAAAUGUGAACACCCCCUGUCCUUUAUAGUAUAGUCGUAAAGUUCUUCUCAGAAAAGUCAUGAAGAAGGCACUCGAAAGGCCGACCACUAACUCAUAGGAACUCUGGUGGUAAAAAUGACGACUACACGGCUCUAUACCAAGUCAUGAGCGAUAGCGAAGCCCAGCCGCCGUCUAUAGGCGAAGGGAUGAAAGCCGGACGAAGGCCUAUGCUACAGUGAGAAAACAAAGUACGUCGAGGUUACGAAGUAACUUACCCGUAUACUAUACAAAGGGAAAGGCGUCGGUAUGGAGUCACGUCAGGUGUGGAUAUAGACUAGGCUAUAAGGAACAGAGUCAACAACUGUGGACUGAGACUACACUAAGGAACGAGGAAGCUUGACUGAGAAAAGAAGUCAAGGAACGAAGCUGCAUCUCUAAUAGCCCGUUGAAUAGAUGGGCGAAGGCUUUUUGGAAAAGUCUUUUUUGUUUUGUAAAUGCUCUAUUUAGAGAGAGGGGGCUUCAAGUUCUUAGGAAGAGCCGUACGAGACAGCUCAUGUACGGUUCGGGAGUCGAGCCCCUGCGCAGGGGCUUAGGUCAACACUUAUAUAAUAGCUAGUCAUCAAUUGGAAGCGGGAAAGAUGGUGAUGAAUUGCGAUUGGUCUAAACCUUCGACUAGCGACUUAUUGCGACCUGCCCAGAAUGCCCAUACAGACUAAGACCUUAUUCACACAGCGAAGAAAGGCCGAGUGGAAGGGGGCAGGCAGCUGGCUGCUUCUUUGCCAUGCGCUUUGCUUCGCUUUAUUUUAUAGAAGAAAGAGACCAAAUGAGAGUGAAAGGCAAGGGCAAGCGAUAGAAAGGAGAGUCCCUCGCGCGAACUACUACUACUAGAAAAUGGUGAGACCAUUAGUGAAAGAAGGACCAAAAGAAAGGCCGAGUGGAAGGGGGCAGGAAGGUGGCUGCUUCUUUGCCAUGCACUUUACUUCGCUUUAUUUUAUAGAAGAAAGAGACCAAAUGAGAGUGAAAGGCAAGGGCAAGCGAUAGAAAGGAGAGUCCCUCGCGCUGAACUACUACUACUAGAAAAUGGUGAGACCAUUAGUGAAAGAAGGACCAAGGAGAACCCUAUCCUAAUGGAGAAAGAGGAGUCAGUUUCUUUGAAGAUCUAGGAACGUAGUGUCGGACAAUUAUGCCAUUCGAAAGAAGUCUUCUACAGAAGAAAAUCCUGUUACGAGUAAGUGGAGAGGAAAGAUCUCCAAGGAUUCUUAUCUCAUUCCAUUCCAUUGGCUCAACCAGUAACCAAUGGCAAAAACUAACAAAUCCAUGGUUUCCUGGUAGAACCCUAGUUCGCCCAAGUUGUCUCGGAACCGGAAAAAAGAAGCGGGUUUUUGCACAGCUUGCUCAUAGUGCAGGUUCCACUUGUAUAUCGUAUUUGGCCGAAGACGCAUCGGACAGGUUGGAGUUCUUACCUUCUUGGGACUCCAUGGACCAAUAUCUGCUUUUAUUAUAUGGUCAAUACCGAUCUACUUUAGUAGAUCAUAUGGAUGUAGAAAAAGCUUCUAAUUUGAAUGAAAUAGAAACAUCUCUUUUCCAUUUCUAUUUACUCAGUUCAUAUCUUUGUUUCAUGUGUUCCUGGGAGGAAUUCGAUCUCGGAAUACCACCUAAAUAACUACGGCCAGAGAGUCAAAUAGGUCGGGAAGAAAGAGUCUGAGGUCGGGUCGGACGACAUACAUCUUGGUUGGUUCCACCACCACUAGAGAUUGGACAUAUAUAUAAUCUUUCUUCUAAAAAAGGGAUUCUUAUAUAUAUAUAUUAUUAAAAUAGCUGCAAGACCAAAACGGGGUGCAAAAAACCGAAAGCUCUUCUUUUAUUUAAGUUCCUCCCAGAUACAUGGCUUACAUACCCGGCUCAACAUUCUUGGAAAACAAUCGAAUCGAGGGUUCGGAGGAGAAUUGGCCAUUCAAUCUUGUGAACUAAUCGAGACCAAAAUUGGAAAAAUAGAUACGAACGGAGAGGAAUAAACAAUCGAUGAAAGAACAUGAAACCAUUCUAUUUUGAUAGAGGUACAAGAAACGGUUGGGGGCAAUGAAGUAGGUGAAGUGGUUGGAUUUUGCGAGUUGUUCCAACCACUGUUGGAUGUGAUUCCAAGAGCCUAACGAGAAUGAAUACCACACAGAAGAGUCAAGACCAGGCUCCCGAAAGGAAUGUUUAACCGAUCCAUUCCGGAUCGACUGAAUUGGUACGGAAGUUGAAACAUGGGAAAACCACUGAAAACACGACUUAUUUGAAUAACCCGGUGACCUACCAAUUGUAGAAGUAGGAUUUUUGGCAAGCAAUAAGCACUUAAAUAAUACAAUUCAAGUGUACCAUCUUCUUUCUCAUUUCAAGGAAAAGGAGCGGAAGGAAAAGGAAAAAGCGGAGGGAUCCGAAUCGGACCUAAAUGGGAAGGAUAUGAAAAGUCUUUCUCAAAACCUAGCAUUAAGGGCGUUAUGACUAUAUACGAUAGGAAUAGAGAAAAACUCGUGAUUGGUAUGGAGGGGAAGAUCUGUUUAUGAUAUAGUUCAUGAAAGAGUCGUCUUAUUUCCUUACUUCUUUCUAAUUCAUUCACUUCAAGACUUGUUCUGAACGCCGCCUAACAUCAUCCUCAACCAACCUCUACCGUACUUUCGGUGCGACCACUAAAGAAUUGCUUAUACACUAAACAACUGCUUAUAUACGUUUACUAAAAGACUGACACUCAUUCAUUAUCAUUAGUCCAGCGUGAAACUAAGAAAGAGAGAUAUUCCUAAGGCGGCAUGUAAGCAACUGUGCACGCUAAGAGAAGAGGAGAGAUGUUCGCGAUUACUACCACAAGAAACCCGCCCCCUAUCUUCUAAAGGGGCCCGUCACUUCGUUCGUACCUUCUUGGCUUAGGCUUCCAACUGAACAACAUGGCCUUGCCGCCCCGCCACUAGCAGAAGCUAAGCGCUUGAAAAGCGCGCUAAGAAAGGUUGCUUCUGUCGCCCUUUCUGUUUGCCGCCCCGCCACUAGCAUAAGCUAAGCGCUUGAAAAGCACGCAAAGAAAGGUUGCUUUUGUCGCCCUUUCUGUGCAACAUUCCACCAGUAGCGGAAGAGAGGAUUACCGUACAUACAAGAGUCUUCCAGUUCUUACGGAAGCUCUUUCUUAUGAGUCAAUCAAGUAGUACAAGAACUUUAUCUUAUCUUAUAGCCCGGCGCGGCGGGUCGCCUUUUAAAUUAAGUAGAUAGAAUAAAGUAUUAAAUAGAUAAGGAGUAGGUGAGUGAGUGAGUCCUCACUGACCUCAGCGAUUUUGAUCACCUAGCAGGCCUUUUAUUUGGUAGGUAACAUCGCCAAAGCGGAUCAUCAAAUUUGACUACGAAGGAAGGAACUCGAAGUGAAAGGGCACCGUCUUGUGCAAGGCAACGAUAGUUGGCCCUCUAUCAUCUUCUAUCUGGUAGACUUGGUAAAAGGGCCCCGACUUAUUUCCAGAAUAAGAGUUCGACCGCGGCUUCCCCCUUUUUUUGGGGGGGAUCAAGUUCCUUGCCAACUGCCACCUAUCGACCCCGACCUCUUUUCAUUUGUUUUGGAUAUUACCAAACCUAGCCUAGCCUUCGUAAAUCACACUAAAGCGGACACCCAACUAUGGAAAAGCCUCCUUAAGGGGGGGUUAGGUUAGUCAAUACCUAGCCUAGCCUUCGU
rnacentral:lncRNA from 1 species